ACCGAGGGGGGCGCUGUGCACCCAGCCUCUCUCUCUCACACACACACACACAGAGACACAGACAGCACUGACUGAACGGAGAGCUGAGAGAGCUUUGUGCCGAAAACUAAACCAAACCUGUGUGUCAGACUAAUGAAUUAAAACGGCCCACUUCAGAGAGGCCAGUAGAAGACCGUGUGGACCAGAGGACAUCAACAAGCAUGGAGUUCCCGCAACAGCAGAAACCGGCGGGGGACGGAAAGAUCACAUAUCCUCCAGGAGUGAAGGAGAUCACGGAUAAAAUCAGCAACGAUGAGGUGGUCAAACGGUUGAAGAUGGUGGUAAAAACCUACAUGGACAUGGACCAAGACUCUGAAGAGGAGAAGCAGCAGUACCUCGGCCUGGCACUCCACCUCGCCUCAGAGUUCUUCCUCAGGAACCCCAAUAAAGACGUAAGGCUACUGGUGGCCUGCUGCCUGGCUGACAUCUUCAGGAUCUAUGCUCCCGAGGCUCCCUACACCUCCCACGACAAACUCAAGGACAUCUUCCUGUUCAUCACCAGACAGCUGAAGGGAUUGGAAGACACUAAGAGCCCUCAGUUCAACAGAUACUUCUACCUGCUGGAGAACCUGGCAUGGGUGAAGUCAUACAACAUAUGUUUUGAACUGGAGGACUGCAACGAGAUCUUCAUCCAGCUUUUCAAAUCGCUCUUCACAGUCAUCAAUAACAGCCAUAAUCAGAAGGUGCAGAUGCACAUGAUAGACCUGAUGAGCUCCAUCAUCAUGGAGGGCGACGGAGUCACACAAGAGCUGCUGGAUACCAUCCUCAUAAACCUCAUCCCUGCACACAAGAAUCUGAACAAGCAAGCGUACGAUCUUGCCAAGACUCUGCUGAAGAGGACCGUCCAGACCAUCGAGACGUGCAUUGCUAAUUUCUUCAAUCAGGUUUUAGUGAUGGGCAAGUCAUCCGUCAGCGACCUAUCGGAGCACGUCUUUGACCUCAUCCAGGAACUGUUUGCCAUCGACCCUAUGCUGCUUACCUCUGUCAUGCCACAGCUGGAAUUCAAACUUAAGAGCAAUGAUGGCGAGGAGCGUCUAGCUGUUGUGCGGUUGCUAGCAAAGUUGUUUGGCGCCAAAGAUUCAGAGCUGGCCUCACAGAACAGACCGCUGUGGCAGUGCUUCCUAGGACGGUUCAAUGACAUCCACGUUCCAGUCAGGCUAGAGUGUGUAAAGUUCGCCAGCCACUGCCUCAUGAACCACCCAGACCUGGCCAGAGACCUGACAGAGUAUUUGAAGGUGCGAUCCCAUGACCCAGAGGAAGCCAUCCGUCAUGAUGUCAUUGUAACCAUCAUCAACGCCGGGAAGAAAGACCUCAACUUGGUCAACGACCAGCUGUUGGGCUUCGUACGAGAGAGGACCUUAGACAAGAGGUGGCGUGUGCGUAAAGAGGCCAUGAUGGGUCUUGCUCAGCUUUAUAAGAAAUACUGUCUGCACCAUGAGGCCGGGAAAGAGUCUGCCCAGAAAAUCAGCUGGAUCAAAGACAAACUGCUGCACAUCUACUACCAGAACAGCAUUGAUGACAAGUUAUUAGUAGAGAAGAUCUUCGCUCAGUACAUGGUCCCUCACAGUCUUGACACAGAGGAGAAGAUGAAGUGUCUGUACUACCUGUAUGCCUGCCUGGACACAAACGCUGUCAAGGCCCUGAACGAGAUGUGGAAGUGUCAGAACAUGCUCAGGAGCCUCGUCAAAGAGCUGCUUGACCUCCACAAGCUGCCAGUGUCCGAGGCCAAUAACACAGCCAUGUUUGGGAAGCUGAUGAGUAUUGCCAAGAAUCUUCCAGAUGCUGGAAAGGCGCAGGACUUCAUGAAGAAGUUCAACCAGGUUCUGGGUGAGGACGAGAAGCUCAGAGUCCAGCUGGAGGUGCUCAUCAGCCCGACCUGCUCCUGCAAACAGGCGGAGAUCUGUGUGAGGGAGAUCACUCGGAAGUUGACGUUCCCCAAACAGCCCACCAACCCGUUCCUGGAGAUGGUUAAGUUCCUGCUGGAGCGCAUCGCCCCCGUCCACAUCGACUCUGAGGCCAUCAGUGCACUGGUGAAGCUGCUGAACAAGUCCAUUGAGGGCACGGCAGACGACGACGAGGAAGGCGUUACACCUGAUACGGCCAUCCGCUCUGGCCUGGAGCUACUCAAGGUCCUGUCGUUCACCCACCCCACAGCGUUCCACUCGGCAGAAACCUACGAGUCUCUGCUGCAGUGUUUGAAGAUGGAGGAUGAAAAAGUGGCCGAGGCAGCCAUCCAGAUAUUCAGAAACACGGGGCAGAAGAUCGAGACAGAGCUACAACAGAUAAGAUCGACUCUGAUUCCCGUCCUGCAUCAGAAAGCCAAGCGGGGAACUCCUCACCAGGCCAAGCAGGCUGUCCACUGCAUCCACGCCAUCUUUAACAACAAGGAAGUGCAGCUGGCUCAGAUUUUUGAGCCUCUGUCACGUAGUCUGAAUGCAGACGUCCCAGAGCAGCUCAUUACUCCUCUCGUGUCCCUGGGCCACAUCUCCAUGCUGGCUCCAGAUCAGUUUGCUUCACCAAUGAAGUCCAUCGUGGCUAACUUCAUUGUCAAGGACUUGCUCAUGAAUGACAGGUCGGUGGGAAAUAAAAAUGGGAAGCUGUGGACAUCAGAUGAGGAAGUUUCACCUGAGGUCCUAGCUAAGGUGCAGGCCAUCAAGCUGUUAGUGCGUUGGUUACUAGGAAUGAAAAACAACCAAUCCAAGUCGGCAAACUCCACCCUGCGCCUGUUGUCAGCCAUGCUGGUCAGCGAGGGAGACCUCACGGAACAGAAGAAGAUCAGUAAAUCAGACAUGUCUCGUCUGAGGCUGGCCGCAGGUGGAGCCAUUAUGAAGCUGGCCCAGGAGCCCUGUUACCAUGACAUCAUCACACCUGAACAGUUUCAGCUCUGCGGCCUCGUUAUCAACGACGAGUGCUACCAGGUCCGUCAGAUCUUUGCUCAGAAGUUGCACCUCGCUCUCGUCAAACUGCUGCUGCCCCUGGAGUACCUCGCCGUCUUCGCCCUGUGUGCCAAGGACCCGGUGAAGGAGCGCCGCGCUCACGCUCGACAGUGCCUCCUGAAAAACAUCUCCGUCCGCAGAGAGUUCAUCAAACAGAACCCACUCGCUCAGGAAAAACUUGUCUCCCUCGUUCCCGAGUAUGUCGUUCCCUAUAUGAUCCACCUGCUGGCCCACGAUCCAGACUUCACAAAACCACAUGAAUAUGAACAGCUCAAAGACAUCAAAGAGUGUCUGUGGUUCAUGCUGGAGGUGCUGAUGACCAAGAAUGAGAACAACAGUCAUGCCUUUCUAAGGAAGAUGGUAGAGAACAUCAAACAGACGAAGGAUGCGCAGUGUCCUGAUGAUGCAAAGGGCAAUGAGAAGCUGUAUAUCGUCUGUGAUGUCGCUCUCUUCGUUAUCGCCAACAAGAGCACUGCAUGUCACCUGGACUCUCCGAAAGACCCCGUCCUCCCCAACAAGUUCUUCAUCGUACAGGACAAGGACUUCAAAAAUGAUAAAGAGUAUCUGACGACAGAUAUGAGACAAAUGCUGCUCACUGGAAAGCCUAAAACAGCUCCAGUGUUGGGAGCUGUGAACAAGCCUCUGACGGUACCGGGGAGGAGGAUCUUCACCAAGACGACCAUAGCCUCAGACACAGCCAGUAACACCAGCACCAACUCCUCCCCAUUGAGCUCCACAACCGUCAACAAGAACAGUAACAGCAAUGCUGCCACCGAGUCAUCAGAGAGCCCAGCGCAGGAAAACAACGAGAACCCAGUUAUCAAGAAUGAAGAGGGGAAUAAGGAGGAGCCGAGUCAGAAUGUGACCCCCAACGCCGAGACGGAAGCGUCGCCCGUCAAACGACGUGGCCGACCACCUAAAACGACGACUGCUGCUGCCGCUGCUCCUGCUGCGGUGGUUGAAAAAGAGGGAGCAGUGGCGCCGACAGCAGGCGGCAGAGGCAGGAAGAGAGCAGCUGACCCCAACUCCAACCCAACAGAUUCAAUCAACAUCAAGAUGUCAAAACAGCAGCAGCAGAAUGACGAAGGGACAAAGAGACAGAUCGACUUGCAGAGGUGGCCACAUGUGAGCAGAGAGAAUGAAACAGUGAGAAAGUGGGAGCCUGGAGAGGAGACAGGGAGAGCUGUAGAGACAGUCGCCCUCCUCCUGGGUAGCGAGGGCGACGUUGAGAUAGAGCUGGAGUCCAGCCCAGAGGAGGUUAUCAGUGGCAGGAAGGACAGAGAGAGAUACGCCGUCACACAAGGACAGAGCAGCUGUGCAGCCUGGUCCCACACACAUAGCCAGGGAGAGACCAAGUCUACAAGAGAUCCUUCUGGCAGGCAGGAAGAGCCCCACAGUGGGCUGGCAGUGAGUUGGUUUAGUCCAGGAUGUCUCUAAACACAGUGUAUCCCGCUAUAAGUCUGUACCAGACUGUCUAGACCAGCAGGAGGCAACCAUAUUUACAACAAAUUUGUCUGUUUUAAAACAUUUUCUGUUGGAAAAUGUGGUUGGUUCGUUUGCUUUCACAUCACAAACAAACCGCACCAGAGUCUGCUUGGAAGCGGACAGAGAUCCACCUUUUCAGGCGGUCUCGGUUCGGGUGUUUGGUCCACACCAGGGUUCGAUCGACAGCGUUUACAAACGCUUUAGAUUUCUUAUACCGGCUGUGCUCCAGCAUCUUUUUUCACCCUCUAUCUGAAAGGACUACUGAUUGGUCACCCAAAUCAAACUGUUCGGACCGCUCUAACUCACUUUGUUUAAGUGCGUGCCAAACUAGCCGUUAUGGAAAUGUAUUACUAGGUGACAUCACCGCGUUACGGAAGAAAAGGCAGGACUUGAAGCAAGGUGUUUCAGGCGAUGUGACAUACUAAAGGAAAGGCAAAAAGCAUAAUAGGUCCCUUUUUAAACUGAACCAAACAAGUUAGCUGUGAAAUCUCCCUCAGUUUCAACAGACGUCUGCAACAGUUUACUAUUUCUUUAAGGAAAUCCACCAUGCUUUAAGAAAAAUCGUAUUCUUCAAGCAGCCGGCGACAGAUAAUUACAUCACUGUUAGGUUGUCAUUGUGUUGUGUCGGUCACUGUGACGGGUGAAAAGAGCCGACUG